rnacentral:lncRNA from 1 species
UGAUUGGUUUGCGCCAAGGUCAGAACACUAGCUCUCUCACGCGGAUUUGCUUACAAUUGUCAAAUUUGAAGAAGAAGAAGGAGAAGAAAAUUGAUAAUUUGCCGCUAAAAUCAAGAAAGGACGUGUUUACAUUCUUAAUUCCGAUUUCUGGACUCGCUCAAAUUCUAAAUUAAUUUUAAUAUUUGAAAGUUUUGCCCAACAUUUCCAACCAUUUUCGGUAAAGUAUCAGAAAUUCGAUCGAAUAAUUUAGCAGCUCUCAGCUUAUCUUUUCACCUCGUGCGCAAUGUAAACUUGUAAACACAUGUUGAGGAUCCUACUCGCUCUCGGGUGUCUACAGAUCUAUUGAUCUUAGCAAACUUUUCUAUUUUUAUGAACUACAAAAUUUCCGCCGGUGGUAUGUCUGCCCAGCUCGACUUCCCACAUUUUCUUUUUUGAUGUUGCUUAGCGUCAUGCCUCACAACUAGUAAAGAUCACAUGGUGCAAGACACCCUGAGCCCUUCUUCGCUACGUGCUACGGGAUAACCAUAGACUCAAGUACAAAGGAGAAAAUAAUUAAUCGACAGCGAAGAUAAAUACAUCAAGUAGAUAUGUCAAGUACCUCCUGUGAUAAUAUAGAUGAAACGCAAGUUCCUGCAAAGAAAUUAAAACAAGCUCGUCUGGUGUUCCAACCUCUUAAGCCACCCUCUGCCAAGAAGGACAACACAAGCAAUGCUCCCAAGCGGAAAUUCAAUGAGAUUGAUGAUGACAUUGAAAUAUUGGAAGUCAUUGAUAAAGAUGAUUCUAAAGAGAAUAAGAAAGCUGUAGAGAAUGGAACUGCUGAACCACAAGAAACGGUUUUAAAGAAGAAAAAAAUCAGUGUUAGUGAUGAAGAAUUAAACAAGUCAAAGGACGAUAAAAUCGAGUCUGAUCCAAAAGAAAAGGAAAAUGUUAGCUCCAUUGUAAAAGAAAAUUCUGCGAAGGCUGCAACAGCGGAGGAGAAAGGAAAUGUCGCCCUGGUUGUGGAUUUGGAGGGGAAGGAUCAUGUUGAAGAGGAUACAAAAUAUGCCUGCAAAGAAGAAGAAGUGUUGGAUCAGAUUUCGAAAAAACUUAGUGCAAAGGGAGAAGCUGAUGUUAGUAUAACUCCAAUGAUGGAUAAAACUGAUGGCUGUGAAUCUAAGAGUGGUGCAACGACAGAAGAUGAAAUGGAAGUUUCCUGUAUUGAUCUUGAAGAAAAAUCUUCGGAGUCUGCUAAAGAGCCUAGUGUGGUUGAUCCUCAAGAGGAAAGCAAUGAAGAAGACAAAAAGUCAAAAGAUGGAUCUGCCACAUCGGAAGUCUCAGAGAAUCAAUCAUUGAACGUGUCUACCUCAUCUGCCAAGGAAAUAUCCGUCACCUCUGUCAAAACUCCAACCAGUGAAAAGAAAACCCCUAAAUCUCGCAAACUCACACCAAAGCAGUUAGAAAAACAACAGGAGAGAGAAAAAUUACGACUUGUAAGUAACCUUUUAUUUAACAUGAGAGGAAACUGA